UAGCUAGUUGGUGAGGUAAAGGCUUACCAAGGCGACGAUCUGUAGCGGGUCUGAGAGGAUGAUCCGCCACACUGGAACUGAGACACGGUCCAGACUCCUACGGGAGGCAGCAGUGGGGAAUUUUGGACAAUGGGGGCAACUCUGAUCCAGCCAUGCCGCGUGAGUGAAGAAGGCCUUCGGGUUGUAAAGCUCUUUCGGCCGGGAAGAAAUCGCAUGGGCCAAUACCCUGUGUGGAUGACGGUACCGGAAUAAGAAGCACCGGCUAACUACGUGCCAGCAGCCGCGGUAAUACGUAGGGUGCGAGCGUUAAUCGGAAUUACUGGGCGUAAAGCGUGCGCAGGCGGUUUUGUAAGACAGGCGUGAAAUCCCCGGGCUUAACCUGGGAACUGCGUUUGUGACUGCAAGGCUAGAGUACGGCAGAGGGGGGUGGAAUUCCACGUGUAGCAGUGAAAUGCGUAGAGAUGUGGAGGAACACCAAUGGCGAAGGCAGCCCCCUGGGUCGAUACUGACGCUCAUGCACGAAAGCGUGGGUAGCAAACAGGAUUAGAUACCCUGGUAGUCCACGCCCUAAACUAUGUCAACUAGGUGUUGGGUGGGUAAAACCAUUCAGUACCGUAGCUAACGCGUGAAGUUGACCGCCUGGGGAGUACGGCCGCAAGGUUAAAACUCAAAGGAAUUGACGGGGACCCGCACAAGCGGUGGAUGAUGUGGAUUAAUUCGAUGCAACGCGAAAAACCUUACCUACCCUUGACAUGCCAGGAACUUGCCAGAGAUGGCUUGGUGCCCGAAAGGGAGCCUGGACACAGGUGCUGCAUGGCUGUCGUCAGCUCGUGUCGUGAGAUGUUGGGUUAAGUCCCGCAACGAGCGCAACCCUUGUCGUUAAUUGCCAUCUUUUAGUUGGGCACUUUAACGAGACUGCCGGUGACAAACCGGAGGAAGGUGGGGAUGACGUCAAGUCCUCAUGGCCCUUAUGGGUAGGGCUUCACACGUCUUACAAUGGUCGGUACAAAGGGUUGCCAAGCCGCGAGGCGGAGCCAAUCCCAGAAAGCCGAUCGUAGUCCGGAUUGCAGGCUGCAACUCGCCUGCAUGAAGUCGGAAUCGCUAGUAAUCGUGGAUCAGCAUGUCACGGUGAAUACGUUCCCGGGUCUUGUACACACCGCCCGUCACACCAUGGGAGCGGGUUCCGCCAGAAGUAGGUAGCCUAACCGCAAGGGGGGCGCUUACCACGGCGGGGUUCGUGACUGGGGUGAAGUCGUAACAAGGUAGCCGUAGGGGAACCUGCGGCUG
rnacentral:rRNA from 1 species